CCCACUAGCCUUACGGGGGGGACGAUGGUUCGUCUCCGUCAUCAAUCAAAAGAAAUCUCAUCUGUACAUAUUGAGCACGAGCUCUCUCAACUGUCAAAUUAAGAUCAACUCAUCUUUAGUCUUUUUCGACCUUGAGUUGCCACUGACCUUGAGGUCUAGACAAGUCCAACUAGUCAGAUCCUUACCAACUCUUCCACCUUAUAGUCGCACAAAUAAUUCUCUGCAAAUUUUACUGAGAGUACAGAUUUUGGACAUGGGAUCUGUUGGGAAUCAAAAUCUUUCGACUCCUUAUGAUAAUUCUAAGGAGUGUUCACAAGGGAAUUGCAGUAUAAAUUGUCCACGAUGGUGUUACUUUAACUUCCCUCCUCCUCCGUUAGAUGAUGAUUCAGGUACCCAUUUUUCCCCACUAAUCAUCGCCAUCAUAGCAAUCCUGGCAGUUGGUUUCCUUGUAGUAAGCUACUAUAUGAUAGUAAAACGGUAUUGCCGGAGAAGAAAUGAUCCAAACACGAGUAUCGAAACCCAAGAGAUUCUUGAUGGACUGACUCGUGAUCAGAUGGCCGGUGCCUCGACUGGAUUGGAUGAGGCACUUAUUAAGACCAUCACAGUCUUUAAGUACAAGAAAGGCGAUGGCCUAAUUGAUGGGGCUGAAUGUGUAGUUUGUUUGAAUGAAUUUCAAGAAAAUGAGUCUCUUAGACUAAUGCCAAAUUGUAUGCAUGGUUUUCACCUUCCUUGUAUCGAUCCAUGGUUGAAAUCUCACCCGAGUUGUCCUAUUUGUCGUGUCGAUGUUAACUUGACCUAUCCGUUGCCUCCACCUGCCCGGAAUUCUCAAACUCCAUCGACUGUCAACGUGGCUUCUCUGGAGAUUCAGAGGCCGGAUGAUUUGAUUUUAGUGGUGGAUGAUCACGAGAGGGAUCGUUCAGAAGAGGUGGUUCCAAGUGUAGUCGAUAAUGAUGUUCGACCGAAGAGCCCCCUGCGAAAUGUUAGUACUGCACAAGAUUCUGAAACAAGAAUUGACAUUAUCGGAACUCCCGAAAAGGAUGUUAAGAAAUUUAGCAGAUCGAUUUCUCCGGGUGCAUUUUCGAGCCAACGCCAGCGCUGAUAUUCCGAGGAUUGAAGAAGCAUAUGAAGGAUUACAAAUGGAAAGUUCCUUAAGAAGAAGAAUAGCAUGGAAUGAGAACUAGCAAGAAGACCUGUUACAAUGAGAAGAUCCAUUUCUACUGGAAGAUUCAUAUUCCAUAAUAAAGGCAAGAAUUCUAUAAUCCCACAUUGAACAUAAAAAUAUUGUAAAGACAAUUUCUUUACUUCAUACCAACUUUACCUCUUUAGUCCUUUAUCUAUUUAUGUUUAGCACAGUAGGAAAGAAACAUGUGAUCUUUGAGUUUGAUACUUGUGAUGCCUAAUAUGGGAUUGAGUGGAAAAUGAAACAGAAUUUGUCAUUUAUUAGUGGAAAAAUUGUGUGAACAACUUGCUUGAAGAAUACCAGAAUGUGCCAGCAAAAAUAGAGGCACCUCGAUCAGUAAGUUAAGUGAUGGCCUCACAAGAAUUACUUAUUUAUAUCUAUUUAUAAAUUAAACCAUGUAAUUCUGCCCAAACGGAGGCUUAACCUUCUAUGGAAAGUAUUGCCAAGACUACUUCAAAAUUUUAGGGGCCAUAUAGAUUAGGCUAUUGUCAAUGCAAAAUGGAAUUUUGAAGUUAUCUAUUUGAAAACAGAUUUAUAUCAUUGUUUUUGGUGCAAGGGUAGAUUAAAUUUGAUAUAUGUGGAUGUGAUUUAGGUACCUCCUUCUACAGUUCAUUAAGUUACAUUUGGUGAUUCUUUUAGUGCACUCUCUCAAGUCAAGCCUUACUUGUGUCGAUAACCUUUUGGAUCGUGGGGGGGGGGGGCGGCAUGGCUAAGAAUAACAAGAUGAGGUCCAUAUUGUUUUCGAAAUGGACAAAGACUUAUCAACUACUACAACUUUACUUCCCUUAACAUCUAAGCUUCCCUUCAUCCACACAAAAAACUUCUCGAAUCUCUUCCCUCUUCUCUCUCUCCCACUAGCCUUACGGGGGGGACGAUGGUUCGUCUCCGUCAUCAAUCAAAAGAAAUCUCAUCUGUCCAUAUUGAGCACGAGGUCUCUCAACUGUCAAAUUGAGAUCAACUCAUCUUUAGUCUUUUUCGACCUUGAGUUGCCACUGACCUUGAGGUCUAGACAAGUCCAACUAGUCAGAUCCUUACCAACUCUUCCACCUUAUAGUCGCACAAAUAAUUCUCUGCAAAUUUUACUGAGAGUACAGAUUUUGGACAUGGGAUCUGUUGGGAAUCAAAAUCUUUCGACUCCUUAUGAUAAUUCUAAGGAGUGUUCACAAGGGAAUUGCAGUAUAAAUUGUCCACGAU
rnacentral:lncRNA from 1 species